AGCAGCCGCGGUAAUUCCAGCUCCAAUAGCGUAUAUUAAAGUUGUUGCAGUUAAAAAGCUCGUAGUUGAAUUUCGGGAUCAAUUUAUUGGUCGUGCUAUUGCACGUACUGGUAUUAUUGAUUCCUACCUUCUGACGAACCAUGAUGUCAUUAAUUUGGUGUCUUGGGGAAUCAGGACUGUUACUUUGAAAAAUUAGAGUGUUUAAAGCAGGCUCACGCUUGAAUACAUUAGCAUGGAAUAACGAAAUAGGACGUUUGAUUCUAUUUUGUUGGUUUCUAGGAUCGACGUAAUGAUUAAUAGGGAUAGUUGGGGGCAUUAGUAUUCAAUUGUCAGAGGUGAAAUUCUUGGAUUUAUUGAAGACUAACUACUGCGAAAGCAUUUGCCAAGGAUGUUUUCAUUAAUCAAGAACGAAAGUUAGGGGAUCGAAGACGAUCAGAUACCGUCGUAGUC
rnacentral:rRNA from 1 species